AACGAACGCUGGCGGCAGGCUUAACACAUGCAAGUCGAGCGCCCCGCAAGGGGAGCGGCAGACGGGUGAGUAACGCGUGGGAAUCUACCCAUCCCUACGGAAUAGCUCCGGGAGACUGGAAUUAAUACCGUAUACGCCCUACGGGGGAAAGAUUUAUCGGGGAUGGAUGAGCCCACGUUGGAUUAGCUAGUUGGUGGGGUAAAAGCCUACCAAGGCGACGAUCCAUAGCUGGUCUGAGAGGAUGAUCAGCCACAUUGGGACUGAGACACGGCCCAAACUCCUACGGGAGGCAGCAGUGGGGAAUAUUGGACAAUGGGGGCAACCCUGAUCCAGCCAUGCCGCGUGAGUGAUGAAGGCCUUAGGGUUGUAAAGCUCUUUCACCGGGGAAGAUAAUGACGGUACCCGGAGAAGAAGCCCCGGCUAACUUCGUGCCAGCCGCCGCUGUAA
rnacentral:rRNA from 1 species